AACAAACGCUGGCGGCGUGCCUAACACAUGCAAGUCGAACGAGAAAGUCGGUUUCGGCCGAUGAGUAAAGUGGCGCACGGGUGAGUAACGCGUGGAUAAUCUACCCUUUAGUCCGGAAUAACCUGCCGAAAGGUGAACUAAUACCGGAUGACAUCCCGGGUUCUCCGGAAACCGGGAUCAAAGAAGGCCUCUGCUUGCAAGCUUUUGCUGAAGGAUGAGUCCGCGUACCAUUAGCUAGUUGGUGGGGUAAUGGCCUACCAAGGUUAUGAUGGUUAGCUGGUCUGAGAGGAUGAUCAGCCACACUGGAACUGAAACACGGUCCAGACUCCUACGGGAGGCAGCAGUGAGGAAUAUUGCGCAAUGGGGGCAACCCUGACGCAGCAACGCCGCGUGAGUGAGGAAGGUUUUCGGAUUGUAAAGCUCUGUCGAGCGGAAAGAAAUGCGCGAUGGCUAAUAUCCAUCAUGCUUGACGAUACCGCUAGAGGAAGCACCGG
rnacentral:rRNA from 1 species